AUACGUAGGGUGCAAGCGUUAAUCGGAAUUACUGGGCGUAAAGCGUGCGCAGGCGGUUUUGUAAGACAGAGGUGAAAUCCCCGGGCUCAACCUGGGAACUGCCUUUGUGACUGCAAGGCUAGAGUACGGCAGAGGGGGGUGGAAUUCCGCGUGUAGAGGUGAAAUGCGUAGAUAUGCGGAGGAACACCGAUGGCGAAGGCAAUCCCCUGGGCCUGUACUGACGCUCAUGCACGAAAGCGUGGGGAGCAAACAGGAUUAGAUACCCUGGUAGUCCACGCCCUAAACGAUGUCAACUGGUUGUUGGGUCUUCAUUGACUCAGUAACGAAGCUAACGCGUGAAGUUGACCGCCUGGGGAGUACGGCCGCAAGGUUGAAACUCAAAUGAAUUGGCGGGG
rnacentral:rRNA from 1 species